rnacentral:rRNA from 1 species
CACACUGUAAACGAUGAUUGCUAGGUGUGGGGGGUCUGACCCCUUCCGUGCCGGAGUUAACGCAAUAAGCAAUCCACCUGGGGAGUACGACCGCAAGGUUGAAACUCAAAGGAAUUGACGGGGACCCGCACAAGCAGUGGAUUAUGUGGUUUAAUUCGAAGCAACGCGAAGAACCUUACCAGGUCUUGACAUCCAACUAACGAAUCAGAGAUGAAUUAGGUGCCCUUCGGGGAAAGUUGAGACAGGUGG